rnacentral:rRNA from 1 species
CCUACGGGAUGCAGCAGUGGGGAAUAUUGGGCAAUGGGCGCAAGCCUGACCCAGCAACGCCGCGUGAAGGAAGAAGGCUUUCGGGUUGUAAACUUCUUUUAAGGGGGAAGAGCAGAAGACGGUACCACUUGAAUAACCCACGGCUAACUACGUGCCAGCAGCCGCGGUAAUACAUAGGUGGCAAGCGUUUUCCGGAUUUACUGGGUGUAAAGGGCGUGCAGCCGGAGAGACAAUUCAGUUGUGAAAUCCACGGGCUCAACCCGUGAACUGCAUUUGAAACUGUUUCCCUUGAGUGUGGGAGAGGUAAUCGGAAUUCGUUGUGUAGCGGUGAAAUGCGUAGAUAGAAGGAAGAACACC